rnacentral:rRNA from 1 species
UACAGAGGGGGCAAGCGUUGUUCGGAAUUACUGGGCGUAAAGGGCGCGUAGGCGGCCUGUUAAGUCGAACGUGAAAUCCCCGGGCUCAACCCGGGAACUGCGUCCGAUACUGGCAGGCUUGAAUCCGGGAGAGGGAUGCGGAAUUCCAGGUGUAGCGGUGAAAUGCGUAGAUAUCAGGUGGAACACCGAUGGCGAAGGCAGCCUCCUGGACGGGUACUGACGCUGAGGCGCGAAAGCGUGGGGAGCGAACGGG